rnacentral:rRNA from 1 species
CGGCGGACGGGUGAGUAACGCGUGGGUAACCUGCCUCAUACAGGGGGAUAACAGUUGGAAACGGCUGCUAAUACCGCAUAAGCGCACAGUACCGCAUGGUACGGUGUGAAAAACUCCGGUGGUAUGAGAUGGACCCGCGUCUGAUUAGGUAGUUGGUAAGGUAACGGCUUACCAAGGCGACGAUCAGUAGCCGACCUGAGAGGGUGACCGGCCACAUUGGGACUGAGACACGGCCCAA